UGAUGGGAUGAAACCAAGUGAAAUUGACACGAGCGAUGUGUUUGGACUCACCGCUCCUCGGGCAACCCGACUGGUAGCUGUUCCAAACGCGCGUUUGUUGUGCCCGCUCUAAAGGAGUUGGAAGGAAAUAUGGAUCUUAUACAUAUUUAGUGCACAGACGAUGAAACCGAAUCAGGUGAAUUUGCAUGGAUUUUUUGUUUAUAAAAUCAUAGAUUGGAGGAAAAAAGAAAAGGAGAAUAAUAACUGAAGAGGUAAGCAUGGAGAAUAUGCAUGGUUCUUUCUCUGUUCAUAAGACUCUUCUUCAUUUCAUGAUGAUUUUAUGUGAAGAUCUCUCUCUCUCUCUCUCUCUCUCU
rnacentral:misc_RNA from 1 species